UACGUAGGCAGCAAGCGUUGUUCGGAGUUACUGGGCGUAAAGGGUGCGUAGGCGGCUAUUUAAGUUUGGUGUGAAAUCUCCCGGCUCAACCGGGAGGGUGCGCCGAAUACUGAGUGGCUAGAGUGCGGGAGAGGAAAGUGGAAUUCCUGGUGUAGCGGUGAAAUGCGUAGAUAUCAGGAGGAACACCGGUGGUGUAAACGGCUUUCUGGACCGUAACUGACGCUGAGGCACGAAAGCGUGGGUAGCAAACAGG
rnacentral:rRNA from 2 species